UACGUAGGGUGCGAGCGUUGUCCGGAAUUAUUGGGCGUAAAGAGCUUGUAGGCGGUUUGUCGCGUCUGCUGUGAAAAUCCGGGGCUCAACCCCGGACUUGCAGUGGGUACGGGCAGACUAGAGUGUGGUAGGGGAGACUGGAAUUCCUGGGUGUAGCGGUGGAAUGCGCAGAUAUCAGGAGGAACACCGAUGGCGAAGGCAGGUCUCUGGGCCACUACUGACGCUGAGAAGCGAAAGCAUGGGGAGCGAACAGG
rnacentral:rRNA from 1 species